ACCCACAAAAUUGACAUUAUCAAAAUUGCUUAGAGUGAAAAUAUCUAACAAAGUCAUUCUUUCACCACCCCGCAUAAGCCCCACGUGCAUGUCCAUUUGGUUUGUUUUGGUAUUUUGUUGCAGAUAUUGAACUUAGCACAUUUAAAUCUUAAAGGGACAUUUAAGCUUUAACAGGCCUAAAAUCGCCUUCUUUGGACCGAAAACACCCGCGUGUGAAAAUAUGAAAAAAAAUGGCCAAAUGGACAGAUAAUCCAGCCAAACUUAUUAUGUGUGUGCAAUAUGAAUAGGAAGAUAAGAAUAUGCAAGAAAAACACAUUUUAAUCAGAGGAUAUUUUUCCUUUAGGUUACAAUAUACUAAAUCUUUUUGGAGUGCAAUGCUAUACUCUCUAAAAACAUGAACAUCAUUUAUUUGAAGACACGGUUCUCUGUAGGGUCACUUGCCAUGACUUUAUUUGAGUAUAUUUCUGUGUGCAUGUGGCAGGGAAAACAUUGUUGUUUACUAGAAAUUCACUCUUUUAUCUGAAGAUUGGAGACUACAUAAGACUUUGACAGAUGGCGGGAAACCCUCAUGAACUGGAUAGAAGCCGGUAGAGGAAUGUCUGCGACUAAGCCGAGGGCCACUGGAUAAGGGUUGUUGAUGGUAAAACAGGUAGAGGAAUGUCUGCGACUAAGCCGAGGGCCACUGGAUAAGGGUUGUUGAUGGUAAAACAGGUAGAGGAAUGUCUGCGACUAAGCCGAGGGCCACUGGAUAAGGGUUGUUGAUGGUAAAACAGGUAGAGGAAUGUCUGCGACUAAGCCGAGGGCCACUGGAUAAGGGUUGUUGAUGGUAAAACAGAUUGGAGACUACAUAAGACUUUGACAGAUGGCGGGAAACCCUCAUGAACUGGAUAGAAGCCGGUAGAGGAAUGUCUGCGACUAAGCCGAGGGCCACUGGAUAAGGGUUGUUGAUGGUAAAACAGGUA